UUGUUCAAAACUCGAUAUUGA
rnacentral:piRNA from 1 species